UCCCUGAAAGAUGAUCAGGUUGAUAGGUCUGAGGUGGAAGUGUGGCGACACAUGGAGCUGACAGAUACUAAUCGAUCGAGGACUUAACCAU
rnacentral:rRNA from 1 species